AUGUAACCCUGUCGUGAAUGAAUACUUCGUAAUACUUUGGUAGUGUUUACAUUUAUUGUAAUAAACAAACUUCUUUAUUUCAAAUGUAGGACUUCAUGAAAGUUGUAUUGUUUAUUUGAUUUACAUGUAAAGGUGAUCUCAGUUUACUUCAGUUAAGUUAAGUGGGUUAUAAUUGUAAUUAUGUCUGGGGUUACCUCAGGUACCCAUGUUAUAAAGAAU
rnacentral:lncRNA from 1 species